GAGAGUUUGAUCCUGGCUCAGGACGAACGCUGGCGGCGCGCCUAACACAUGCAAGUCGAACGAGCGAGAGAGCUUGCUUUCUCAAGCGAGUGGCGAACGGGUGAGUAACGCGUGAGGAACCUGCCUCAAAGAGGGGGACAACAGUUGGAAACGACUGCUAAUACCGCAUAAGCCCACAGGUCGGCAUCGACCAGAGGGAAAAGGAGCAAUCCGCUUUGAGAUGGCCUCGCGUCCGAUUAGCUAGUUGGUGAGGUAAUGGCCCACCAAGGCAACGAUCGGUAGCCGGACUGAGAGGUUGAACGGCCACAUUGGGACUGAGACACGGCCCAGACUCCUACGGGAGGCAGCAGUGGGGAAUAUUGCACAAUGGGGGAAACCCUGAUGCAGCGACGCCGCGUGGAGGAAGAAGGUCUUCGGAUUGUAAACUCCUGUUGUUGAGGAAGAUAAUGACGGUACUCAACAAGGAAGUGACGGCUAACUACGUGCCAGCAGCCGCGGUAAAACGUAGGUCACAAGCGUUGUCCGGAAUUACUGGGUGUAAAGGGAGCGCAGGCGGGAAGACAAGUUGGAAGUGAAAUCUAUGGGCUCAACCCAUAAACUGCUUUCAAAACUGUUUUUCUUGAGUAGUGCAGAGGUAGGCGGAAUUCCCGGUGUAGCGGUGGAAUGCGUAGAUAUCGGGAGGAACACCAGUGGCGAAGGCGGCCUACUGGGCACCAACUGACGCUGAGGCUCGAAAGUGUGGGUAGCAAACAGGAUUAGAUACCCUGGUAGUCCACACCGUAAACGAUGAUUACUAGGUGUUGGAGGAUUGACCCCUUCAGUGCCGCAGUUAACACAAUAAGUAAUCCACCUGGGGAGUACGACCGCAAGGUUGAAACUCAAAGGAAUUGACGGGGGCCCGCACAAGCAGUGGAGUAUGUGGUUUAAUUCGACGCAACGCGAAGAACCUUACCAAGUCUUGACAUCCUGCGACGGACAUAGAAAUAUGUUUUUCCUUCGGGACGCAGAGACAGGUGGUGCAUGGUUGUCGUCAGCUCGUGUCGUGAGAUGUUGGGUUAAGUCCCGCAACGAGCGCAACCCUUACUGUCAGUUACUACGCAAGAGGACUCUGGCAGGACUGCCGUUGACAAAACGGAGGAAG
rnacentral:rRNA from 1 species